ensembl:snRNA U2 U2 spliceosomal RNA
AUCGCUUCUCAGCCUUUUGGCUAAGAUCAAGUGUAAUAUCUGUUCAUGGAAAAUGUUAAGACUUUUUUUUUAAAAAAAUGCAAUUUAUGUAUAUUAUUCUUGGCCAUUGAAAAUAAAGUGCAGGAUCCCAU